AUUAGUUUGUAUUAUCAUCAUCAUUAUCAUUAUUGAGUGUAUUUCACUCUAGUAUAUAUGGAAUACUAGUUUUUAUGUGCAGAAUCUAAGCAGUGCUCUCAGAAUAGUUGCUUAUUGACCAAAAUACAGGAUUCAUUGACUAGGGGUUGAAACUUACUAUAUGCAGUAUUAAAGAAUGAUAAAUCAUGAGUUAUAGCUUUAAAAACAACAAUGACAACAAGAUAAUGGAAUUCCUGUAAGGUUCCUUGAAGUACUUUAAAUGUUUAUUUUACAACUAUUUAGCUUGCCUAGAAUUUGUAAAGAAGACUUUACAUUGUUUAUGUGUGAUUAAUGCAUGUAGAACCUACCAUCAGCAGUUACUUAACUUUGUUUUGACAAUAAUUAUAAGCUCAAAGUGCAUCAAAAGCAUAUUUCUAUGGAUCUUUUAAGAGAUUCCACUGAGGAAACUGUUUCUCCAAUGCCAGCAUCAUGACCUAAUUCCAGGGUUAUUCCACACUGAUCUGAAAUGAGAAUUUUACUUCUCUGGUUUGACACAGCAACAGAAAUAUUGGUCCUCUUCCCUGGCUUGACCCCAAUAUCCCUAAACUGAUUUUUCCAUGGUACCCUUUUAAUAGUUGGGCUAGUUCCUAGGAGAACAUUUUCAGGGAUCUGUAGGUGGAAACAAAACUGUCAACAUCUUAUCAGGGUCACAUAGAGCUAUCACACAUUUUUCCUUCUGUGGAUCUUGGUUAGGUAGACUACUUAUAGAAAUUAGAGCCCAAGCUAUUGGGAAAAGCAUGCUUUAUGAAUAUCUUUAGCAAUGGAGAAGAGAAGAACAAUGUAUAAUCUGUCUGAAACCAUUGUUUUUUAGCACUUACUAACCCUUGGGACAGAGCGCAAUUGAACAAUGUUUUUUAAAAAGUCGUGAAAGAAAGAAACAUUUAAAAAAGCUACUCUAAUUUUACGAAAGUAAGACAAAUCCUUGACAGAUAUGAGGAAUUCAUUUAGAAUAGGUAUAGGCAAAGGUAGAGUGAUUUGUUCCGAGCCUGAGUCUUGCUAACUAACUCUGCCUGCUGUAUAGUGUAAAGUCGGAUCUCAUGGAUCCCAUGACUCCUGGGAAGAGCACUGGGCCAGAUUACCUACCUAGUGAUGUGCAUUCUGUUCUAGCCUAGUCUCAGCUUCUUUUUUGCUUUUCUAUUUUUAGCAAAAAAAAACUAUAUAACCUCGCAGGCUCCAGUUUCUCCUCUCUAAAAUGAAAAGUUUGCAAUGGGUGGUCUUAAAGGUUCCUUUUAGCUCCAUAAUGUUGCAACUUGCAAAUGGAAAUACCUCUGCAAAUGUGAUAGAUGCAGCUUGCUUCCUGUUGUGGACUAAAAGCUGGGGACAGUCGAGUACGUUUAAACUGGGAAAAGCUUCCUGUAGAGGCGGGGCUUUAAGACACAUUUGAAAAAUAGUCUGAUCCUAUAUUGAAUAAUACUUCUUGCAGCUGAUAUUUGUUUUUAUAAUGAAUGCACACGUGUGUCGGUUUAAAUUGCUGUGUUGAGAUUAAUGUUCUCAGAAAUUAUUUCUACAUUACCAGGAAGUGGUACAUUUGAAGCCUCUCCUGUACCAUCUUGAGAUUAAAAAAGAAAAAAAAGGAACUUUCUUUUAUUUCCAUUACUUAGGUUUAUUUAAACUUGUUUUUAAAAAACAAAAUAUCUUCUCAAAUCCCCAGUCAUAUUUCCAUGCAGUGUGGUUCUAAGAGUCCUGGAAACAAAGAACAGUAUCAGUCAGGACCAUUGCAGGAAAUGUCCUCAAGAUCACUAGUGCAUCUUAGGAUGUUAGCCCAAGGACCAACUGGGGUAUCAGGCCACAUUGAAGAGAUAACUUUAAUUUGUAAGAUUUGUUGUGACUCUCAGGCAACAUAUGUCUUUUGAAUCCAUUAAGGAAUGUGUGAAGGCACAGCACUACUAAUGCUACAUUAGCUAUCUGUCUUUAACUUCCAAAAAUAAUUUGAAAGCAUUUUAAAUGCCAUUUUUCAUACGACAAAAAGAAGUGCAAAGAAGUUAACUUGGCCAAAUAUAAGUGAAGGAGACGUGAUUUUAGCUCUAGAACAAAUCCUUUGUCUCAUUACUGUACUGCUUCACUAUAACAAUCAAGAUGUGGAGACUUCUAAAAUUUUCACCAUGAAUGUUAAGAAAACACUAGAUUGCAUGAUGUGUUACAGAAACACCCACUAAAAUCCACUGAAGUAAGAAGUUGUGAAUUCUCUCUGUACUUUGAUAAAUUCCCCUUGGGAGCACACCGGUUUGGAAUCAAGAAUGCUUGCUUCUAGUCCUAACAUUUCCAUUCUCUGGGUCUCAGUUUUUAAUAUUAAAACUCUCCAAGGUCCCUUCUUAGUGCAGUGAUACAUGCCUAUGGAAUUGGGGCUUUUUGCAUGCUUUAUGAAGUAUUUUAGAGCCAGCUGGCCUGGCACUUUACACUAGAGGGAAAAGUAGCCAUUAAGGUCUUAAAUUUGUCCCGUGUAGUAAAGACUGAAGAUGAAGAUGAGAAGUUUUGUUUUCUCAGGUGUUGUUGAAGCAGGCUACUACUGACUGCUGCCCUGGGAAGCUUGGGGUUCGUCAUAGGGCCGGAGGCUGUGCCUGCCGGUCUGGCAGUGGGCCAUCCUGGCGAAGCACAGCACAGUGGCUGGUGUACGCUGCCACGUGAAGUAUUAGAUAACUGCCCAGAAGAGCUGCCAUACAUGCAGAGGAGGGGGUAUUCGGGGCUGCCCAUGGUAGUCAUAAAAUGAUAGAUAUGAAUCUAAUCUUAGAAAAGCGAGUUGAACUCCCUCACUUUUAGUUGGGGCUCAAGGAAGUGAGGAAAGUUGUGCAAGUUUGUACCUUUAGUGUGAAAGUUGAGGAUGGAAUUCGGGUCUCCUGACUACUUAUCUAACUCACCACUUACACUCAUUUAUGCUAAAUACCAUGCCUCCUUUUGCUCCCACAGGAAUAUGGUCACUUGGUGAAUUUAUGUUCAUUUAUUUCAUGUACAACCUGAAAUGCCUCUUCUUGCUUAUCAAAUCAACAUAAAGCACUGGAAAAUUGGAUUCAAGCUUAGACAACAGACACAGUGACGUAUUAAGAUCAUUUUAUGCCGUAUCAUGAUGAUUUUUAGGGAGUUAAUUAAUUUCCGCUCAAGGAAGCAUAAACAGCAACUACAUGCAGGUAAAAGACAAUAGACAAAAAGGUAGCAGUAAAUGGUUGCCCUUUGGGUUCCACAGGGCUUGUGUUAGAUAAGGUCUUAUUUAGCAUAGUUAUGAUGCGGUAAAGAAGUAUACUCCCCACUAGUAAAUAUUUCAGAGAUGCUAAAUUGGGAAACUGGCAAAUUGCAGGUAUGAAUGGAUGAGUACAAUGUGCUCAAUGAAUAAGGAAUCAAAAGGAAUCAGAAGGAAUCGAAAGAAUGUAGGCACCUUAAAUGUAUUCAGGUACAAAGAAAUCACCACAAACGAGACCGUGAUGGAGGAAAGGUACUGGCUUGUCAAUAGAUUUGGGUUUGCAGUUUGGAAACCACUCUGUAAACUCCACAAAAACUAAUAAUUGUGCUAAUAACCUUGGUGUUGAUAAUCAUAAUCUGGGUAUUCAGAUUUACUGGCAUGACAUUAUGCAAAUCAGUUAACCUUUCUGAAAAUCUAAUUCCUCAUCUGUGAAGGAGUUGGAUUAGAAUAUAUUUCCUGGCUUAAAUAACCACUGUUGGACAAAGAAUCUUAUAAUUAGUAUCUGCAGCUCUUCAGGAGGAAAAAAAAUAACGAUAAUUGAUAACUUCAAUGAGUAACUUUAUUUCUUUGAGUUAUGGGAUAGUCAUGCUUUUUUCAGUCGUCAUAGAUACUCCCCAUCGCUUAAGAUUAUAAAUAUAUGAGGCUUGAACACACAAAGGAAACUUAGAGAUAGUCCACCCCUACUCGAAAUUUUAUUCUUAAGGGUGGAGAGGCCUUGAAUUACAAAGUGACUUGUCUAACUGGUUAAUGGUGAAGCCCAAAGGACUAACAAGGCUUCACAGUUCUCCACACACAGGGCUCUUUUCUCCUAUAGGAAAAGGGGUAAAUAGGUUUUCUUUCUCAUGCCAAUUCAGGCUGAUUAGUAAGGCCUGGCUGUUGAGAAAGACUGUGGAACUGAGAGCCAGGUACUAUAGAAAAGACUAAUGUUAUUGAUGAGGACUGUUUGCUAUAUAAACAGAACGGGGAAGUCACCUAUAUGUUUGCCACCUCCUCUCAAAGCUAUGCUUUACACAUGUUCCUUGAGAUUAAACCUUGAAUAUUUCUUCUGCCUUGCUUUUUAACAACCAUCACUCGCAAUAUUAAUGUUGUCUAAGGUAUUUCACUCUAAGAGACGGACUAUGUCUCAGUGGACCAAACUUGGAUUUGGUCAUUAGGAAAUACGUCAUUCUCAGUGCUUGGAUCCUCAUUGGGUUUUCUUGAGCUGUUUUUCAUUUCUGACGCUGCUAAAUGUUUUAGACUUCUCCGUUAGCAUCAUGUGGCCUGUCUGACUAGGAUUUCAAGCUGCCAGGGCAGGACCACAGCUCUGAGUACAGGCUGGCUGUAGUUUUGUCCCUCAUUAUAAGACCAUGGAAUACAGUAGGAGAGGAGCGGCAGAUACCUUGUCCUCUGUGGUUCCGACAACUUAAGUGCAAUUCUUGGCAGCCUGGUUUUAGACUCUGAUAUGGGCCUUUUCUCGUAUGACGUUGCAGGAAGCUUUCUCUUGCUGCUGACAUGUUCUGGCUCCUUGGUUUACUCAGAGGAGUGGCGAAGGAGACAUACCUCAAGCCAGGAGCCGCUAUGUUGGCCCUUAUGCUCUACUUUCUAUAACUUUGCAGGAUUUUGGAAGAAAAUGAGAAUAUACUCUGGAACUGGAGAUACAUAUACCCACACAUAGAUUCAUAUAUAUAUAUAUUUUUUCACUUCUUCAGGUCUUUGUCCUCAUUCCUAUCAUCUGGAAUUGUUUUGAAAGAAAAAUGCAUAUUACCCUCAUAAGGAACUAGAGUUUAACUUCGGAAACUUAUAACACAUUUAUAAAAGACACAAAGUGUUCUCUCUUUUUAGAACUGUUCAAGUGCAAGUCAGAUUUGAGUUCAAAUGGAAUGAAAUGCCUGUUUAUUUCUGGAAGCAAGUUUAGUUAUUUUCUAGUCCAGAUUCUUUGUUUUACAGAUGAAAAAAUGGAAAUCCAGGGUCUAGGAGGGUUAAGUGAUAUGCUCGGUGGUACAUUUCAGAAGAAACAGAAUAGGAAAAAGAAUCCAGAACUUGCCAAUUUUUGGUCUCACGCAUUUUAUCUCACACCGCACUACUGCCUCUGGGUUUAGAAUUACAACAGUUUGGUUUCCUUUUAAACUGAUGACUUAGGUUUUUGUUAAGGUUUGAUUUACAGUUUAGUAAAAAUUUAAUACUUAUGUUCAUUUUGGGUUUUAGCAAGUCAAUACUAUUCUAGAGUUUUAUUUUUAUUUUCUUUAAGCCUGUAAUGGGCAUUGAGGUCUCCCUGUGGUCUCUGGACUUCUCUCUCGGCUUUGAAGAUUCUGCUGUUCCCUGCUCCAUCUCAACUUAUGCAUAUUCUCAACCACAGGGGAGUCUGGAACAUGCCAAACAUUAUGGUGAGGCUGUUACAACGCUCACCCCGGUCUAAAACCUAAGCCACAGGAGACACAGACUUCUGGUUCCGCAGAAAGCAGGUGUUACAGGUAAACAACCACCACCUGUUCACCCCCUCUCCUCCAAAAGAGGAAAAAAAGAAUUUUUCCUUUGAUGACAGCAACACAUGACCCAGGAAG